GGAGGGUGCAAGCGUUGUUCGGAAUUAUUGGGCGUAAAGAGCGUGUAGGCGGUCCGGUAAGUCAGAUGUGAAAGCCCUGGGCUCAACCCAGGAAGUGCAUUUGAAACUACCAGACUUGAGUACGGGAGAGGAGGGGGGAAUUCCCGGUGUAGAGGUGAAAUUCGUAGUUAUCGGGAGGAAUACCAGUGGCGAAGGCGCCCCUCUGGACCGAUACUGACGCUGAGACGCGAAAGCGUGGGGAGCAAACAGGAUUAGAUACCCUGGGUAGUCCACGCCGUAAACGAUGAGCACUAGGUGUAGCGGGUAUUGACCCCCCUGCUGUGCCGUAGCUAACGCAUUAAGUGCUCCGCCUGGGGACUACGGUCGCAAGACUA
rnacentral:rRNA from 1 species